UACAGAGGGUGCGAGCGUUGUCCGGAAUUAUUGGGCGUAAAGAGCUCGUAGGCGGUUUGUCGCGUCGACUGUGAAAACCUGGGGCUUAACUCUGGGCCUGCAGUCGAUACGGGCAGACUUGAGUUCGGUAGGGGAGACUGGAAUUCCUGGUGUAGCGGUGAAAUGCGCAGAUAUCAGGAGGAACACCGGUGGCGAAGGCGGGUCUCUGGGCCGAUACUGACGCUGAGGAGCGAAAGCGUGGGGAGCGAACAGG
rnacentral:rRNA from 1 species